rnacentral:rRNA from 1 species
UCUGGUGGUUUUAGCGGAGAGCUCAACCCGAUCCCAUUCCGAACUCGGCCGUUAAUCUUCUCAGCGCUGAUGGUACUAAGUCUCAGGCUUGGGAGAGUAAGUCGCCGCCCGAA